rnacentral:lncRNA from 1 species
CUUUCUUCCUUUUGGUGCGAGCUUGCUGUGGUUUUUGCUCUGGGUCCUCUGGGAUGGCGCCUGGCUGUGGCCGCGUGGUCUCUCACGCAGGGGCGCCGGGCGGGGGAACGCGGCCACCCUGAGUCUGGUGGAAGAUGGAUGCCUGAAGUGUAGACUGCUGCUAGCUGAAUACCAUCUGGGAGCAUAAAGGUGACCUGAAGGAUGUCCUUGGUGAGGAUUUUGAAAAUUUGAUCUUCACAAGAGUUGCCUGGAUCAUUUGAAAUUUCUGGGAGUCUGAGGAGUACUGACAUAAUUACCUGCUGGAGUCUGUAAAUACACAUUUAAGACAGUGAGGAUGUGAAUAAAUAUAUUAAUGCACUUU